AUAAUGUUCAGUAUUAUACUAGGAUUAUUAAGUUACAAUAUAUAUAUAAAAGUUUUUUAAAUGAAAACAUGUAAAAAUGAUAACAUAAAAAUACAAGAUCAUAAAAAAUAUAUAAAUAUAUGCAAUAAUUCAUAUAGGAGAAAACAAGUAAAUUUAACAAAUCAUCAACAUGAUCAUUCAGCCAUUGUUGAAGUGACACCAUUUUCAUGCACUCAGAGGGUCACCUUUUUUAAGACACUCUUGUUUUGCUUUCUUUUGGAAAAUAGUCAAGGCUUCAGCUAUUAAUCCUUACAUAACUAUAUAGUAAAUAUCAACAACAUAUUGGCUC
rnacentral:lncRNA from 1 species